AACGUAGGACACAAGCGUUAUCCGGAGUUACUGGGCGUAAAGGGCGUGUAGGCGGACGUGUAAGUCUAUUCUGAAAGCUCCUGGCUAAACUGGGAGAGGCGAAUGGAGACUGCAUAUCUUGAGUUCGGGAGAGGUGAGUGGAACUGCGAGUGUAGAGGUGAAAUUCGUAGAUAUUCGCAAGAACACCAGUGGCGAAGGCGGCUCACUGGCCCGACACUGACGCUGAGGCACGAAAGCGUGGGGAGCAAACAGG
rnacentral:rRNA from 1 species